rnacentral:rRNA from 1 species
GACGAACGCUGGCGGCGUGCCUAAUACAUGCAAGUCGAACGCAGUGGGGACGGGAGAGUAACACGUGGGUAACCUCCCAUCAGAGGGGAUAACAUUUGGAAACAGGUUCUCAACCGAUAAUGAUGGAUGGACCCGCUGUGCAUUAGCUAGUUGGUGAGGUAACGUCUCACCAAGGCAACGAAGAAUCGCCGACGUGAAGGGGUGAUCGGCAACACUGGGACGGAGACACGGCACAGCCUCCUACGGGAGGCAGCAGUGGGGAAUAGUCGGCAAUGGACGAAAGUCUGACCGAGCAACGCCGCGUGAGUGAAGAAGGUUUUCGGAUCGUAAAACUCUGUUGUUAGGGAAGCGGUAUCUAACCAGAAAGCAACGGCUAACUACGUGCCAGCCGCCGCGGUAAUAC